rnacentral:rRNA from 1 species
UACAUAGGAUGCAAGCGUUAUCCGGAAUGAUUGGGCGUAAAGCGUCUGUAGGCGGCUUUUUAAGUCCGCUGUCAAAUCCCAGGGCUCAACUCUGGACUGGCGGUGGAAACUACCAAGCUGGAGUACGGUAGGGGCAGGGGGAAUUUCCGGUGGAGCGGUGAAAUGCGUAGAGAUCGGAAAGAACACCAACGGCGAAAGCACUCUGCUGGGCCGACACUGACACUGAGAGACGAAAGCUAGGGGAGCGAAUGGG